UUUUUUCUCUCAAAGUUGCCGGGAUGUCACGUGCCCUACUUAUAUUAGUACACUCGUAACAACUUAAGCAUUACGAAACGUUUAUUCGAUCAAAUACACCUCACGUAACAAAUAAAGCAUACAUUUUUUUGUUGACCAAAUUCGACAGUCAUUGACCUCCAUACAAAAACUCCUUGCUUGGUGGGCGAAAUAACGGGCACGGGAAUGCUUCAUAAUUAUACGUUCGGUGAAAUCUGUCUCAUUGUUCUAUCUGUGCGUAUACCAACACAGUCUACCCUUAACUAUGUAGUACAUGAACAAAUAAGCACAAUGUUUCUAGGUAGUAAUAGCACAAACUCACGGCGCAUCAAACUCAAUAAGAGAGACCUGAUGCCACGUCCCUUAACCUCGUUAAACUCGACGCGCCCUGAGUUUGCGCUAUUAGUACAAAUAAACAACUGCUUAUUUGGAUGCAGAUAUCUACUUUACGGUGAGAACGCGAGGUAAAUUAUCGGACAAGAAAAUGCAAAUAAUCUAGUAUUUUCUGUACUUCGGUCGGCAUAAUUCUAAACUCUUAUUUUAUUUCAAUCAGUUACGGAUAUUGGUUCAUCUUGUAGACAGGGAGUGAUAUGUAUUCGCUUGGCCAACUAUCAAAGAUGUUCUACAACAUGUUCUCAUCUAUCUGUGACAGUAUCUUGUAUGCUAACGUUAGCAACCCCAGUGAACAUUGGGCCUAGAUAGCUGCUUGCCGUUAAUUAUGUGAAAGAUUUUCAAUAAUACCACAUCGUGGAAGCACAAGGAAAUACAUUUAUUUCAUGACUUAAAGGAGUCACUAAAGACCUGGACCAAAAAGGUCUAAGGCCUCACACUUUACAUGGUAAACAAACAACUAAAUAGUUACAUAACACUUAGCAUGUCUUCAGGCCUUAGAGCUUUUUUGUCCAGGCCAUGGGUGAAUUAUGCUGCCUCUGAUGUCCCUCUAGCCAUUGGCCAUGGGCAAGGCUAGUGGUAAGAGCAGCUGACUGUCUCUUUACAGCUCGCACUCUCAGGUCAGUUCCGGUACCUAUUUAGUUGGUGUUUGUUUACGCAUGUAAAGUGUAACUAUUGUUUUCUAAAUAGAUAACAUAUGCAAGUCAUGGCUGCCUCAUGUUAAUUGUAUAUUAUUGUAAUCAAAAGUCACAGCGGAGGACAUGGACCUAACCGGAACAGAUGACCAUAUUGCAGCUAAUGGCAGGGUCUGACUCUCUAUGUAGUGUUGAGAAGGGCGUCUACGACGGUGUCUUCCUGGAGAAAGACGAUGACGUCAUCCUUCGUCAAACAUGUCCAUACAAAGACCAAUCAUCUGUUCUCAGGAGAGAUUUCAGUGUGUGUAGAACAUAUUUGACCAGGUGGAGUCAGGCUUCUACUUCAUUGCCCUGGACCACUACACCAACGAGGCAGAGGACGCCAAGUUUGGACCAAUUAUGCUGAUGCCCCACCGUAAGAACCUGGAGCUCUUCACUGGUUCUGUGGGAGGUGACGUGGCCACAAAUCAGUGCCUGGGACACCUUACAGCGCUACCACUCUCUGGACAACAGCCAAAGGGUGGUCAAGACAUCUACUGCAACUUCAUCUUUAGUUUGUCAGCUCUGCUGCACCUGGGAGAUAAAGGUGUGGCACCACACUCCCAACAGUCAUGUAUGCUUAAACAUACUUCAUCGUUUGUGUGUUUCUUAAAGUGGCAAUCAGCAGUUAUAACAAUAACAAAGCGGUGUCCCCGUCUGUUUCAGUGAAAAGCUUAGGGAUGGGGCUGGAGAAAUGUAGCCACUCUCAAAUUCAUAGAGCUAUGGAUGCAAGGACUGACCAUCACGCCUUCUUCUAAAAGCCCAAUGGAGGAGACGACCCAAGGUUCCUCGCCUCAGACCUCCUCCAAUGGCUUUUGAGAAGGAUGCGUGUAGAGAGGAAGUGAGGAGUUAAGCAAAGAUGAAUUGGGACAGAGUUCAUGUCAUUGUUUUAGGUGGAAACAGAUGUUGAAUGAUACAUUUAUUCUGUUUUCACUUAUAUCUUCUACUUGUGCUCUUUCCACAGAUGGCUCUGGCUUGCUGAUAACAUCUGAUCUGACUCCUUGCAAUUUGACUCCUGUAUUACUGACUGUAUUCAAUAAAACUUCCAAUGCCAAAUUGAAA